rnacentral:rRNA from 1 species
AUUGAACGCUAGCGGGAUGCCUUACACAUGCAAGUCGAACGGAGUGGCGAACGGGUGAGUAAUGUAUCGGAACGUGCCCAGUAGCGGGGGAUAACUAAGCGAAAGCGUAGCUAAUACCGCAUACUAUUGGAGCGGCCGAUAACGGAUUAGCUAGGUGGUGGGGUAACGGCUCACCAGGGCGACGAUCCGUAGCUGGUUUGAGAGGACGACCAGCCACACUGGUACCGAGACAAGGCCCAGAAGCCUACGGGAGGCAGCAGUGGGGAAUUGUGGUCAAUGGGGGAAACUCUGAUCCAGCCAGCCCGCGUGUGCGAUGAAGGCCUUCGGGUGUUAAAGCACUUUUGGCAGGAAAGCGGUACCUGCAGAAUGAGCACCGGCUAACUACGUGCCAGCGGCCGCGGUAAUAC